CCUACGGGAGGCUGCAGUGGGGAAUAUUGGACAAUGGGCGAAAGCCUGAUCCAGCCAUGCCGCGUGUGUGAAGAAGGCCUUCGGGUUGUAAAGCACUUUCAGUGGGGAAGAAAGCCUUGGGGCUAAUACCCUCGAGGAAGGACAUCACCCACAGAAGAAGCACCGGCUAACUCCGUGCCAGCAGCCGCGGUAAUACGGAGGGUGCGAGCGUUAAUCGGAAUUACUGGGCGUAAAGCGCGCGUAGGCGGUCUGAUAAGCCGGUUGUGAAAGCCCCGGGCUCAACCUGGGAACGGCAUCCGGAACUGUCAGGCUAGAGUGCAGGAGAGGAAGGUAGAAUUCCCGGCGUAGCGGUGAAAUGCGUAGAGAUCGGGAGGAAUACCAGUGGCGAAGGCGGCCUUCUGGACUGACACUGACGCUGAGGUGCGAAAGCGUGGGUAGCAAACAGGAUUAGAUACCCUGUAGUC
rnacentral:rRNA from 1 species